rnacentral:rRNA from 1 species
AACGUGCCCAAUCGUGGGGGAUAACGUAGAGAAAUUUACGCUAAUACCGCAUAAGAUCUAAGGAUGAAAGCGGGGGACCCGUAAGGGCCUCGCGCGAUUCGAGCGGCUGAUAUCAGAUUAGGUAGUUGGUGUGGUAAAAGCGCACCAAGCCGACGAUCUGUAGCUGGUUUGAGAGAACGACCAGCCACACUGGGACUGAGACACGGCCCAGACUCCUACGGGAGGCAGCAGUGGGGAAUUUUGGACAAUGGGCGAAAGCCUGAUCCAGCAAUGCCGCGUGCAG